rnacentral:sRNA from 1 species
GGUGCUUCCUCCUCUCGCUGCUGGCGCAAGCUCUUCCUUUAUCUCGGUGAUGCUGCCACGGCUGGGUGGGGCCUGGGGAAGCCUGAGCAGGUGGAGCCCCAAAGAAUUGCUGAGCCAGGUGCCGGGAGACCCUUCGGACCCCCGAAACGGCAGGAGGACUGAUGAGGGUCCUGGAUCAGUGAAAUUCGAGCAGGAACCGCCCCUUCAUGCAGGAACCACAUCAAAUCAAGCUGCAGCUUGAUCGCCUUCAACUCCGACCGUCCUGGUGUACUGGGCAUUGUGCCUCUGCAAGGCCAAGGAGAGGACAAGCGACGCGUGGCCCACCUGGGCUGCCAUUCAGACCUAGUCACCGACUUGGACUUCUCGCCCUUUGAUGACUUCCUCCUGGCCACAGGCUCGGCUGACAGGACGGUAAAACUCUGGCGACUGCCAGGGCCUGGCCAGGCCCUGCCCUCAGCACCCGGGGUGGUGCUGGGCCCCGAGGACCUCCCAGUGGAGGUACUGCAGUUCCACCCCACCUCUGAUGGCAUUCUGGUGAGCGCAGCAGGCACCACUGUGAAGGUCUGGGACGCAGCCAAGCAGCAGCCCCUGACAGAGCUGGCAGCCCAUGGGGACCUG